rnacentral:rRNA from 1 species
AGUGAACGCUGGCGGUAGGCCUAACACAUGCAAGUCGAACGGCAGCACAGUAAGAGCUUGCUCUUACGGGUGGCGAGUGGCGGACGGGUGAGGAAUACAUCGAAAUCUACUUUUUCGUGGGGGAUAACGUAGGGAAACUUACGCUAAUACCGCAUACGACCUACGGGUGAAAGCAGGGGAUCUUCGGACCUUGCGCGAUUGAAUGAGCCGAUGUCGGAUUAGCUAGUUGGCGGGGUAAAGGCCCACCAAGGCGACGAUCCGUAGCUGGUCUGAGAGGAUGAUCAGCCACACUGGAACUGAGACACGGUCCAGACUCCUACGGGAGGCAGCAGUGGGGAAUAUUGGACAAUGGGCGCAAGCCUGAUCCAGCCAUACCGCGUGGGUGAAGAAGGCCUUCGGGUUGUAAAGCCCUUUUGUUGGGAAAGAAGGGCAGCAGGUUAAUACCCCGCUGUUCUGACGGUACCCAAAGAAUAAGCACCGGCUAACUUCGUG